UAGGGAAUCUUCCGCAAUGGACGCAAGUCUGACGGAGCAACGCCGCGUGAGUGAAGAAGGAUUUCGGUUCGUAAAACUCUGUUGUUAGAGAAGAACAGCGCAUAGAGUAACUGUUAUGCGUGUGACGGUAUCUAACCAGAAAGCCACGGCUAACUACGUGCCAGCAGCCGCGGUAAUACGUAGGUGGCAAGCGUUGUCCGGAUUUAUUGGGCGUAAAGCGAGCGCAGGCGGUCAAUUAAGUCUGAUGUGAAAGCCCCCGGCUCAACCGGGGAGGGUCAUUGGAAACUGGUUGACUUAAGUGCAGAAGAGGAGAGUGGAAUUCCAUGUGUAGCGGUGAAAUGCGUAGAUAUAUAGAGGAGCACCAGUGGCGAAGGCGACUCUCUGGUCUGUAACUGACGCUGAGGCUCGAAAGCGUGGGUAGCAAACAGG
rnacentral:rRNA from 1 species